CCUACGGGAGGCAGCAGUGAGGAAUAUUGGUCAAUGGACUCACGUCUGAACCAGCCAUGCCGCGUGCAGGAAGACGGCUCUAUGAGUUGUAAACUGCUUUUGUACGAGGGUAAACGCAGAUACGCGUAUCUGUCUGAAAGUAUCGUACGAAUAAGGAUCGGCUAACUCCGUGCCAGCAACCGCGGUAAUACGGAGGAUUCAAGCGUUAUCCGGAUUUCUUGGGUUGAAAGGGUGCGUAGGCGGUCGGAUAAGUUAGAGGUGAAAUCCCGAGGCUCACCUUCGGAAUUGCAUCUGAUACUGUGCGGAGAGAGAGUAGUUGCGGUAGGCGGAAUGUAUGGUGUAGCGGUGAAAUGCUUAGAGAUCAUACAGAACACCGAUUGCGAAGGCAGCUUACCAAGCUACUUCUGACGUUGAGGCACGAAAGCGUGGGGAGCAAACAGGAUUAGAUACCCCAGUAGUC
rnacentral:rRNA from 1 species